CCUACGGGUGGCAGCAGUGAGGAAUAUUGGUCAAUGGGCGCGAGCCUGAACCAGCCAAGUAGCGUGACGGAUGACUGCCCUACGGGUUGUAAACUUCUUUUUUAAAGGAAUAAAGUGAGGCAAGUGUGCCUUUUUGUAUUUACUUUAUGAUUCAGGAUCGGCUAACUCCGUGCCAGCAGCAGCGGUAAUACGGAGGAUCCGAGGGUUAUCCGGAUUUAUUGGGUUGAAAGGGAGCGUAGAUGGGUUGUUAAGUCAGUUGUGAAAGUUUGCGGCUCAACCGUAAAAUUGCAAUUGAUACUGGCAGUCUUGAGUACAGUUGAGGUAGGCGGAAUUCGUGGUGUAGCGGUGAAAUGCUUAGAUAUCACGAAGAACUCCGAUUGCGAAGGCAGCUUACUAAACUGCCACUGACAUUGAUGCUCGAAAGUGUGGGUAGCAAACAGGAUUAGAUACCCCAGUAGUC
rnacentral:rRNA from 1 species